CGAAAUCGCCUAAAAAGAUAAGGUAAAGGAAAGGGUGGGGGGUGGGCGACAGGGAGGUGGCCGCCCCCUUCCCUCUCCCCUACCCCACCUGCGCCUUCUUCCCGUCAACAAGGAAGCCACAUGUAAUGAAAGCAUCCAUCUUUUCCAUAUACUACUCAUAUAUGGUGUCUCACUGGCGCUUUGUCUUUCUACUUGUUUUUUGGAGUUGCAAGAUGGGUUCUCUGGGUCUGGAGGAGGUGAAGAGGAGGAAGGCAAUGUGGUUGUACCCCAAGGUGCUUGGUUUCAACCCUUCUGAGACAUGGAGCCAGUCGGCUUGCUAAUUUUGAAGGUGAAUGAUCUUCACAUUUUAGAUUUAAGGACAUAAGAAUGGAGUAAGCCUAAUUUCAAAGGCAUGUCGCCUUUGCCCCGAGAGAGCCAUACCACCACUGUGGUUGCCGAUGUAAAGCUUGUGAUUUUUGGUGCUAGCAGAGAAAGCAAAGCCAAUUAUCUGAAUGAUGUACAUAUAGUUGACCUUAAGAGCAUGACUUGGAGUUCCCCUCAUGUUAAGGGUGAACUGCCAGCCCUAAGAGAUACCAACACUGCUGUUUCUAUGGGUAAUAAGCUUCUUAUUUAUGGGGGUGAUUGCGGUGAUCAUUAUCAUGGCGAAGUUGAUGUUCUCGGCAUGGAGAAUAUGACUUGGUCACGGCUUGUGAUUCAAGGGUCCUCACACGGAGUCAGAGCAGGUCAUGCAGCUGUAACUUAUGGGAGCAAGGGGAGUACUCAUGAUGAUGAUGUUUGAGGAAACGAACAAUGAAAGUAAGCAAUAAGCACUUCGAAUUUACAGUUUAACAAUGUUUUUUUUUUCUAUUCAAUAGGUUUAUGUUAUCGGUGGAGUUGGCUACAACCAAUACUAUAGUGAUGUUUGGGUUCUUGAUGUGACUAAUUAUUUGCGGACUCAGCUUGAUAUCGAUGGAAAGCAACUGCAAGGGAGAUUUUCUCAUACUGCUGUUAUUACCGGCACUGACAUUGCCAUUUACUGAGGAGGUUGCGGAGAGGAUGAGUGCCCGCUAAUUAAAUGAGUCGCUAAUUUAAUGGUCGGUACAACAUUUCAAUGUGUAAGAUUUUCCGCAAUCACUUGAUCCAAGAUAAGCAGAAGCUUUUGAAAGCAAGUGAAAAUUCACAAAAAAGCAUGGUUUCUAGUAAUGGAGUACUUAAUCAAGGAUCUCAUGAAGCUAAAGUUGAAACAAAGAUCCCUCUCAUACGAGGCUUGUCUUAGUUUAUAUUUUGUUCUUUUUUAAAAAAAUAUUAUUAAAACUAUUUUGGAUGACCUUAUGCACUAUUUGGU